GACAGAGGGGGCAAGCGUUGCUCGGAAUUACUGGGCGUAAAGGGCGCGUAGGCGGUAUGGCAAGUCGGUCGUGAAAUCCCUCGGCUCAACCGAGGAACGUCGAUCGAUACUGCUGUUCUUGAGGAUUGCAGAGGAGACUGGAAUUCCCGGUGUAGCGGUGAAAUGUGUAGAGAUCGGGAGGAACACCGGUGGCGAAGGCGGGUCUCUGGGCAAUUCCUGACGCUGAGGCGCGAAAGCGUGGGGAGCAAACGGG
rnacentral:rRNA from 1 species